ensembl:lncRNA novel transcript
AUCAUCUUUGAACUAGAAAAUGAGCGCUCAGCAGACCUUGAGUUUGCCAGAUUUGAUCAUGAACUUCCCAGCUUCAAGAACUCCUGAACAAAGCUCCACGAUGAAGUCUACGAAGCCACAUUUUGGACAAAGGCUGAAUCUAAGGACUGUUUGGAAGAGAUCCACCCAAUAGAUUAGCUUAAAGAAGACUAUCUGGACAACUUGUUGAAAUAGAAAAACUCGUCCUAAUAUUCAUCUGGAAUCUCAAGGGACGUAAUAGCAAAACCACAUUGUAAAAAUAGAACAAAGAUGGAGAUUUGACACUUCUUUAUUUCAAAAGUGAGUAGCAUAUGAAGUCUGAGUAUAUGAGCUAAAAGUUUAUAAAGAUCAUAUAACCAACAAAUCACAAACUGGUAGACUACUGGCCAUGGAAUACCUGGAUGCUGUCAAUGUUAAAAAUGAGAAGAUUUUAUAUAAAAGGCAGCAUCCUGAUAAAUUAUCCUACAAAUAUGAAACUACUAACACUGGAUCCAUGUCUUUCCAAAAUUAUCAUCACCAUCAUCAUCGUCAUCAUCACAAAGCCAUCACAGAGUGCUUUCUGUUUGUCAUCCACAGUGCCAAACCCUUUGCAGACAUUGUUUCUUUUAAUCUUUACAGCAAUCCUAUCAUGUAGGAUACCCUAUUAUCACCUGAUAAUUGAAGAUAAAUAAUUGUCCAAGAGUAUACAAGUAGCAGAUGAUAAAGCCACAUUUCAAACUAAUAUGAUUCUAACCCAUCAACUGUCAGCCAAUGGUCGUAACUGGCCUGUUUGGAUUUUGUGCCCUGCAGUUUGUCACAGUUUGCUCCUGUCUGUACGUGGUCAGCUUUUCCCACUAUUGUUAUUGGUUGGAAAACAUGGCCCUUUGGACCAAUGAGUACUGAGGUUUAUGAAAACCCUUGUUUUACAGCGGCAGAAACCUCCAAAGUGAAGUCAAGCAAAGUUAACUAUGUUAGGUUGUAGAAAUAUCAAUGAUGUGUGCUUCUGUCUAUUUCAACAACUGACCUUCAGCCCAACACAAAAUAUUUCUCAAUAAAGAAUAACUGAUUGACUAAUUGAAGGAAAAAGUAACAAAUGACUACAGGGCAUAGUUAACACUGGAUUUGUGUUCAAGGUCCUCUAUAUUUUUGGUCUCCAUAUUUCACAAAAAAUAACAACUGCCAUAAAUUGUUAGAAAAUAGCAUUGUUUUAUUAAUACAUAGUGUGAGUUGGCCUGGCUCACUGGAUCACUCCUGUGAUCAUAGCACUUUGAGAAGUCGAGGCGGGUGGAUCACUUGAGGUCAGGAGUUUGUGACCAGGGUGGCCAACUUGGUGAAAUCCCGUCUCUACUAAAAAUACAAAAAUUAGCUGGGCAUGAUGGCGCUUGCCUGUAGUCCCAGCUACUCGGGAGGCUGAGGCUGGAGAAUCGCUUGAACCCCGGAAGCAGAGAUUGCAGUGAGCCAAUAUCGCACCACUGCACUCCAGCCUGGGCAACAGCAAGACUCAUCUCAAAAAAUAAAAAUAAAAAAAUACGUAGUGUAAGUCAUUUCUUCCAGGGCUUUGCUUUUUAUCUUAUUUAAUACUACAGCCAUGUUCUGAGCUAAAUUUAUUAUUAUUCCCACCUGACAGAUAAGUAAAAUCCUAUCAGGAUACUGAUAGAUAAGGAACUUACCUAAAGUCACCUUGUCUUAUGAAUAGCUUGAUUAGGAUGGGUUUAAACCUGAUCAAUAUGAUCACAUUUCCAAAAUGCUAUUUUAUUUACCAUUAUUGAGUUUUUCAUUAUUCAAGAUUUUCUAUUUUGAUCAUGGCAUUACAUCAGCAAGUUAAUUGUUUUAACUUUUGAAUUAUAGUUCAUAAAAUACUUUGUGUGAAAAUGCUC